AAAUUGAAGAGUUUGAUCAUGGCUCAGAUUGAACGCUGGCGGCAGGCCUAACACAUGCAAGUCGAGCGGUAGCACAGAGAGCUUGCUCUCGGGUGACGAGCGGCGGACGGGUGAGUAAUGUCUGGGAAACUGCCUGAUGGAGGGGGAUAACUACUGGAAACGGUAGCUAAUACCGCAUAACGUCGCAAGACCAAAGUGGG
rnacentral:rRNA from 1 species